ACAAUUGACUGUGCAAAGCUACAGAAGAUCCCUGCAAGAGUUUUCUGAAAGCCCAGUUAUGUCAAGAUGCAACAGCCUCAGGUCUUCCCACUCUCACACUGGUGGACCACAGAGCAUCACUGAAUGGCUAUCACUCUGUGAAAAGGAUCCAGUGGAGAUUCUCCUUGAUUUGGGGUUUGGUACAGAAGAACCUGAUGUCUGCACUAAAAUCCCUCCUAGGUUCCUUAGUGGUUCUUCUGUGGCAAAAGGUAUUGACAUCCGAGUCUUUUUGGAAGCUCAAAAGCAGCGGAUGGACAUUGAGCUGCCAAACCUAUAUGGUAAGUGGAGAAGGAAUUUUAGCCAAGAAAUAUAGUAAAUAGCAUGGGGACUGAGCGGAUAGAGAAGAGGCUUAUGAGAGAAAGUAUAUGAAAAGGGGACAUGUAUUCAGUUGAUAUCAAGAAUUCUUAUUCCCUUUUCCCUUCUGUGGGAGCAGGACCCCUUUCACAGGGAAAUGUGCAGAGCAGCUGACAAGAUCCCCGUCUCCUGUCACUAGGGCUGCUAGGGCUCAUGCAUCAG
rnacentral:lncRNA from 1 species